rnacentral:rRNA from 1 species
UUUGAUGAGAUCUUCGGAUGGAUUUAAAACAGCUUAGUGGCGGACGGGUGAGUAACGCGUGGGUAACCUGCCUCACACUGGGGGAUAACAGUUAGAAAUAGCUGCUAAUACCGCAUAAGCGCACGGUUCCGCAUGGAACAGUGUGAAAAACUCCGGUGGUGUGAGAUGGACCCGCGUCUGAUUAGCCAGUUGGCGGGGUAACGGCCCACCAAAGCGACGAUCAGUAGCCGGCCUGAGAGGGUGAACGGCCACAUUGGGACUGAGACACGGCCCAAACUCC